CAGCCGCCACGGUAAUACGGAGGGUGCAAGCGUUAAUCGGAAUUACUGGGCGUAAAGCGUGCGUAGGCGGCUUCUUAAGUCGGAUGUGAAAUCCCUGAGCUUAACUUAGGAAUUGCAUUCGAUACUGGGAAGCUAGAGUAUGGGAGAGCAUGGUAGAAUUCCAGGUGUAGCGGUGAAAUGCGUAGAGAUCUGGAGGAAUACCGAUGGCGAAGGCAGCCAUCUGGCCUAAUACUGACGCUGAGGUACGAAAGCAUGGGGAGCAAACAGGAUUAGAUACCCCCGUAGUCCCUGUCUCUUAUAC
rnacentral:rRNA from 1 species